UACCCAAGGCCGGACUCGAACCGGCACGCCCGUUAAGGCGGGGGAUUUUGAAUCCCCUGCGUCUACCAUUCCGCCACUUGGGC
rnacentral:tRNA from 1 species